rnacentral:rRNA from 1 species
CCUACGGGAGGCAGCAGUGGGGAAUAUUGCACAAUGGGGGAAACCCUGAUGCAGCGACGCCGCGUGAGUGAAGAAGUAAUUCGUUAUGUAAAGCUCUAUCAGCAGGGAAGAAAAUGACGGUACCUGAGUAAGAAGCCCCGGCUAACUACGUGCCAGCAGCCGCGGCAAUACGUAGGGGGCAAGCGUUAUCCGGAUUUACUGGGGGUAAAGGGAGCGUAGACGGCUGUGCAAGUCUGGAGUGAGAGGCGGGGGCUCAACCCCCGGACUGCUGGGGAAACUGUACGGCUGGAGUGCAGGAGAGGUAAGUGGAAUGCGUAGUGUAGCGGUGAAAUGCGUAGAUAUUAGGAGGAACACCAGUGGCGAAGGCGGCUUACUGGACUGUAACUGACGUUGAGGCUCGAAAGCGUGGGGAGCAAACAGGAUUAGAUACCCGGGUAGUC